UUCCGUAGGGGUGACCUGCGGAGGGAUCAUUACCGAGUUUACAACUCCCAAACCCAUGUGAACAUACCUAUUGUUGCUUCGGCGGGAUCGCCCCAGGCGCCUCGUGUGCCCUGGAUCCGGCGCCCGCCUAGGAAACUUAACUCUUGUUUUAUUUUGGAAUCUUCUGAGUAGUUUUUACAAAUAAAUAAAAACUUUCAACAACGGAUCUCUUGGUUCUGGCAUCGAUGAAGAACGCAGCGAAAUGCGAUAAGUAAUGUGAAUUGCAGAAUUCAGUGAAUCAUCGAAUCUUUGAACGCACAUUGCGCCCGCCAGUAUUCUGGCGGGCAUGCCUGUCUGAGCGUCAUUUCAACCCUCAUGCCCCUAGGGCGUGGUGUUGGGGAUCGGCCAAAGCCCGCGAGGGACGGCCGGCCCCUAAAUCUAGUGGCGGACCCGUCGUGGCCUCCUCUGCGAAGUAGUGAUAUUCCGCAUCGGAGAGCGACGAGCCCCUGCCGUUAAACCCCCAACUUUCUAAGGUUGACCUCAGAUCAGGUAGGAAUACCCGCUGAACUUAAGCAUAUCAAUAAGGCCGGAGGAA
rnacentral:rRNA from 1 species